rnacentral:rRNA from 1 species
UACGGAGGGUGCAAGCGUUAAUCGGAAUUACUGGGCGUAAAGCGCGCGUAGGCGGUUAAGUCAGUCGGAUGUGAAAGCCCUGGGCUCAACCUGGGAAUGGCAUUCGAUACUGCUUAGCUAGAGUUUGGUAGAGGGGAGUGGAAUUCCACAUGUAGCGGUGAAAUGCGUAGAUAUGUGGAGGAACACCAGUGGCGAAGGCGGCUCACUGGCUCGAUACUGACGCUGAGGUGCGAAAGUGUGGGGAGCAAACAGG